GGGGAAUUUUCCGCAAUGGGCGAAAGCCUGACGGAGCAAUACCGCGUGGGGGAAGAAGGUCUUUGGAUCGUAAACCUCUUUUCUCAGGGAAGAAGUUCUGACGGUACCUGAGGAAUAAGCCUCGGCUAACUCCGUGCCAGCAGGGCCGCGGUAAUACGGAGGAGGCAAGCGUUAUCCGGAAUUAUUGGGCGUAAAGCGUUCGCAGGUGGCUCGUCAAGUUCUGCCUGGGUUCAAAGACCGGAGCUUAACUCCGGGUAGGCGGUGGAAACUGAAGAGCUAGAGUGCGGUAGGGGUAGAGGGAAUUCCCAGUGUAGCGGUGAAAUGCCCCCGUAGAGAUUGGGAAGAACACCCGGUGGCGAAAGCGCUCUACUAGGCCGCAACUUGGACUAAUUCAGGGACGAAAGCUAGGGGAGCGAAUGGGAUUAGAUACCCCAGUAGUC
rnacentral:rRNA from 1 species